GUGGCGGCAGUGCCGGUAGUGGAAACAGUCAGUGGUGCGCGAGCCUCCGAGGCGCGAGGACGUUAUCCGUGCGGCGGCGUCCUAACUUUCUUUUGAGUGCAAGCCGAGAGCCUUUCGCGCUCAGUUUAUCUGAGCGCGUCGAUAAAGUUCGGGCUUUUUGUGAAACUUUACCGACCUUGUUUGUGACUUUUGUUUUGAGCCGGAAGUUAUUGUCGCAGUGACGCUUGAUGAAGUCGACGUCGAUGGAUAAUAGUUAACAAUUGGCAUACAGAACAAGUUCGUAUUCCACAAAUGCGUGAUUCCUAUCGAAUAAUAAACAGAUGUAGAGAACGUAAUUAGUUUCGAUCGCUUUUGCGCUAUUCAACCUCAUGUUUUGCAGGCACGUGUCAAAAGCAGCAGUAGCAGCCGAGAAAGAGGAUUGCAGCACGAAGGCGCCGUGCGGCGACGAGUGCUGCGCUAAACGAGCUAUUAUGCAAAACAAUCGUAACCUGCUGGACGAGGGCGCGAACCCCCUGAAGGACCUGACGCACGCGAAUCUCAACGAGCCGCUCAAGCAGCACAAUGCCAAUGCCGUCAAGCUCGUACAGACCGUGUCGGAGUUCGCACAGGCCCUGGGUGGUGCAAUGGAGUGCCACGGCCAGAACGUCAUCCGACUGGUGGAUGACUUCCGGGGCCGCACGUCUGACUCGAGGGGAGAUACGAACGGCAUGCGCCGCGUCUGGGAUAGCCUACUCAGGCAAGUCGAGGCUGACGCCGCAGCGCAUCUGGAGCUCGCAUCGGUGCUGCAGCAGCAGCUCUCGAGGCCCGCGCUCGAGGGUUGCUUUCAUCGCAAAGUCCAACACAGAAAGGUGUUCACGCAUCGCGACGCUUACGAGCAGGUGGUAGCCAAGACAGAGGAGAAGCUGCAGCGCGCUCGAGCCGAGUACAAACGCGCUUACGGCGCGCUACUCGCAGCCCCCGAGACAAGCCAGGACUCGGAACUGAAGCGCGCAUACCUCGAGGCACACAACGCGUACGUGCUCCAACUGCGCGCGACCAACGCAAUCUCCGAGCGAUACCAGUUCCACUGCCUGCCAGGCCUUCUCGGCGAAGUCGCCGAGGUCUACGAGGAGCUCUGCGGCCUAACUUGUACAUGCGUCUCCGGCAUCUCCGAGGCAGCUGGCGAUCGCGUGGCCGAGCAAAUCAAGAGAUACCAGGCUCUCGCCAAGGAGGUCAAAGUCGUUAACCCGCAGUCGGACCUACAGGUCCUGGCACGCAGUUUAUCGUCGGUGGCACAGCCGCGCAAACCACCGCGGCGACUGUUCGUGCCGCCUUCGCCGCCUGAGCAGACGAGCAGCGAGCGCAUCAACAGCGUACCUGCCUUAAGGGAUGAGCUUGUACCCACGGGCAGUGGUACCCUUGGUAUGAUGGAGGAGGACCUGAAGCUUGAGGCUGACCGACUUGCGCAGGAGAUUGCCCAUCUACAGGAUGCCCUCGACACGUUGAACCGCAUGCAGCGCAAAAGCGCUGAAGGUAACCUGUAUACUAAGGUAGCCGAGCUCCAAGAAGAUAUUUCAAUGAAACGCUUCGAUCUCGGAGUUGCGCAACUGCAGUUGGCCGCCGUUCACGCUCAGAAAGAAUUGUUCGGAGGAGGAGCGGAGGCAGCGCAACCAGAUGGAACGGGAAAUCGGAAAAUGUCAAACGGUUCAACCGGGAGUAAUACGAAGCACAAAUGGUUGAAAGCAUUCAAAAGUCUGAAAACUACACCUACCACACCUCCGCCCAAUGAAAAAGGGAAACAAGCUAUGUACCAUGCCGUUUCUUCCGUGGUUGCCAUGUCCAGGAAAAACCUAGAGGCCGAGUCCGGCGGUCACCAGUGGCGCGAGUACACCUACCGAAAGAUAACGCCGUGCGACGCCUGCGGGCAGGUACUCCGCGGACACGCACGUCAGGGCUUUCGCUGCCGGAAUUGCAAGGCCAACGCCCACGCCGACUGCAUGAGCUCUGUCCAGCCGGCCAACUGCCCCAGUCUUCUGCCAAAGCGUACCGCCGGCAUACCGCUGCUGCGCAGGCAAAAGAGCACCGCGCCGCCCGUCGACGAGACUCCGUCUUCCGAACAGAAUGUGGACGCCAUAUACCAGGUGCUGAAGCAGGCUGGCGAGAUACGUGGAAACUCGACAAAUUCACCACCUACGCCUCCCACAGCAGAUCAUCCUCCUUCCGGCGCAGCACCUUCUUCGUCAGCGAGGACGACCACCUCUUCCCAACCCUGUUCCUCGUCCACCUCUGCUCCACACAGUCCACAGCGUCGUAGAGAGCGACUAAAUUUGCGCAUGAAGAGCCUUAGCCUGGACUCGCCAGAAGGUUCGGCCCAUGUGCGGCAUCGCACGCCCCGGGACUAUCACAACUCGGGCCAGCGCGGGGAAUCAACGCCGCCUCGACGUUCCGACAGCGGCAGCAUUAAUCGAUUAUCAGCCCCAUGCAGUCCGGGUCAGAGCAUCCACGGUAUCCACAAGCAGCAUCUUCGUGGCACCAUCAGGAUGUCGAGCGUCGAACUACCCGACGACAAUGAGAAAUCGUACUCUUCGGCGAGUACCUCGCCAUGCCCCUCGCCUCACUUGAAUAAUCAGAAUCAUCUCAAUCCGCCUGGCAAGCGAGUGUUGCCACCAAACAAUCUUUACGUUGUACUCUACAACUUCGAGGCCAGACAUCGCGAUGAACUUGAUCUUAAAGCCGGGUACAAGAUAACGGUGAUCGAUAAAUCCGACAAGGACUGGUGGAAGGGCAAAUGUUUAGGCGGACGCGCGGGUUUCUUUCCCAGCACGUAUGUCAUGAGGGUUGAAUCCGGUCAGAAGACACUACAGGUCACGCGGAAUUUGCAGCUGGCCGAUCAGACUACUCUUCUUCGCGAUCAGAUCGUGGUUCAAGUGGGCGACGAGGUCGAGGGCGUGGCGAUGGUGCGCUGUGCAACUGACGUCCUGUCCUCCGGUCAAGCGGGCAAGGACGGGGAGGUGCGCUACAAAGAAAUCCUUUGUCCGCUCAAGUACCUGCAGGAGGUGUGACGGCAGCCUCCGCAGGCCCAGGCCGGACGGAACCGCAAUCGCGUGCGCGCCCCCGGGACCCAGAACGCCUCAGAGAAGUAUUACGACUGCCUGCAGUGCGCCGAGCAAUGCCGUCACGAUCUCCUCCUCAAGAGCAAGAACAACAUCUUGAACAACAACAACAACGUCGCGAGCAGCAGCAGCAGCAGUGGCAAGAACGGCAACAGCAAGAGUUACCGGACGAGCAGCGGAAACCGCAGCAAGCAGCUCGCCAGGAACAACAACCAGAACAACCAGUACAACCGGAACAACCGGAACAACAGCAAGAACCAGAAGUACAGCGCGAAUAGCCAGACCAGCGCCAACAAGAACAAGGUCCAGAAGAUCAACAACCUGCAGCAGGCAGCCACAACCAGUAGCUGCAGCUCCGCGGCCAACAAGAGCAGUAGCACUCGCCGACUGGAGAGCUACCUGAUGAGCGUCAAGGAUCCGUCGAUUCGCCGCUGGUUGUCCAAGAGUUGCACCUCCAACGGCAGCAGCUGCAACGAGGCGCAACAGCUGGCCGACAAGCACCAGAAGAAGCCGCCGACGCCAGCGAGGAAACGCUCGUCUCUGGCCAGACCCGUCAGAGUACGCGACAGCUUUCCGCAAGACAACGAGCCUGCUGUCGUCGACUGGAGUGACACCCAGAAUCUGCAGAACCAGCAGUUGCAGCAGCAUCAGCAGUCGCAGCACCACUGGCAGAGACUCUUCGAUGACAAGGUGAAAAAAAAGCACAAGGAUAAGAAGAAGAAGCAGCAGCAGUGCCUGGACCAGGCGAUCGACGAUCUGGUGGAGAUCCGCGUCGACGAGGAAGUGAUAACGCUGCCAAUUCGACUGCGACUGGGCGAAUUCUUCGAGCUGUCGCUGCCCAAGUGCCGCAGACGCAAACGGCGGAGACGCCACCGCAUGAUGAUAGCCACGAUGCGCGAAAAGACGAUGAAGUCCAUGAUGGAGGCCGGAGGUAUGCAAACCGGCGGUGCUUUCAAGGAUACCGAGCGUCUGCUCAAGGUGCUCAGCAUCAACAAUGUGGACCAAGAUAAUAGGUACAACGUUACGCGCUGUUCCGUUAUGUAGGUUUUAAUGAUAAGGCCGCGACUACUGCUGUCACCGCGACGUCGGCGUCGACGAAGCUUAGCAGGGUUGAUUGUCGCUGGGAUGGAUGCGGGGAUACUGCGAGCUGCCCUCGCGCAGCCGACGGUUUAUUGAGGUCGAAUUUCCUCUUUCGUUAAAGUGCUUGGUACUUAGGACGCAGCAGAGGGAAGUGUUAAGCGAUGCUUAAUAAUAGAGCUUGACUAUAGACUAGAUUUUCAGACGGCUAUUACGAUGAAAAUUGAUUAUUGCUUCGCGAUUGGGACGUGGGCAUUCUGGAACAAUGUUAAGUAUACCUAAGUCGUAGAUUCGUUGAAAUAUUUGUAUUGUUGUUAUAGACAACGUUGAUCGAGAACCAUUUUAAUUUCAUAGUGAAAUAGGCCCAUGUCUCUGUAUAGUAAUUGAAGUCAAAUCUGGUUGUGGUUAGUAUUAAUUGAAGAUAUAUAACAAACAGAACUUUUUGUUGAUAUAUAAAUGACAUUUAUAAUUAUAACUAAAUCAAUAAAUAGCAUCAAUUCAAGAAGUGAUGCCUUUUUAUGAAGGUCAAUGGUCACAAUGUUAUUGUGUGAUAAAAUUUGAUUUACAAAACUCAAACCAAAAGAAAGUUAUGAUUAUUAUUUUGUUUUUAUAAGGAAGAAAAUAUUGACCAUUUUAAAUUAAACGUCUGUUGACACAACUCUAUUAAAUCUUUAAGAGUUAUAAAAUAAAAAAAUAUAGAUAUAUCGAAGUAAAUAUUUUAAAUAAAUUUACUAUCUAGUACGCGAUACAUACCUAUCGUUUGCUUUCACGUAAAGCCUAUCUAGAGGGUACUAUCAAAUAAUAUAAUGAUUGUAAACAAUUUGAAACACAUUCAAUGAUUCAAACCAAAUAAUUAAAAGAACGCUCCUUGCUUCUUACUAAAGUUCAUUUGUAAUUUAUAAGACGGUUGAUAUUUAUACCAUCGCAAAGUGAAAAUAGAGUGGUGCGUCAUUAUUGCUUUUGUAUUGCCUAAUAUAUGAAAUUAUAUAUAUAUAUAUAUAUAUAACAAAAAUAAUAAAAUUUAAAUAUUAAUAUAUAAUAACAGAAGCAUUAUAUGAAUGUAUAGUUUUACAUUUGAAAUUAUUUUUCUAGGUAUACUAAAACAAAAGUGAUACUUAUAUAAUGUAAAUGUUCAUGAUGAAAUAUAGUGACUGUUUGAAUUCUAUCGAUAAUUAGAAUAUUUGAUACCGGUCAAAGUGAAACGUAACAUUGUAUUAUGCAGUUAUUAUACUAUAUUUGGUAUUAUAAUUUUCAAAUGGCAAAAUACGAAAAGUGUAAAUAUGUGGCAAGCAUUGAAAAAGGAAAUUCUUUCUCAGCAAUCCUAGCAUAUUCAGUCGCGUUCCAAUCAAGUCUGAUUCAUCAAUGUCAAAGUGAAAUAUACGAUCCCACGGUUUUUAUGAAACAAUUAAUACAUAACAGCGCUACAGAUUUACUAACGCAUAAAGAAUCUUUUUUUUUUAAUCUUCGAGUUUACUCUUGUAAUUAGGGCGUAUUUGGUCCAUACUAUAGUAAAAAUAUAAAAAACGUGCAAUCGAUAGAAAGGGUUUAUUUUGGAGAACAAGCGAAUCAAUUGGAACGCAGCGAGCCUUUUAAUUCAUGUCUGGGACAAUGAUAAGUACCACGGUGUCUUUUUUUAAUGCGAAAAAUACAUGAAUCCCCUUUAACCGGAUCGAUAAUUGUCCUCGUGCAUAUUUCAACGUCGUAAAACUUCGCCUGUGUAUAUAGAUAUUGUACACUAGCCGAUUAAUGAAUAAUAUACAGAGCUAAUGAAAUGUGACUUGUUUCUCGUAUCCCUCUGGUAUAAUUCGCUUUCCAUAGCUAACAACUGGAUAUUAUCCGAUGAAUAAAUUUGCUGUUAUCAAUCCAUGCCUCUCUGCGUUUCUUCUUGUAUUCUCCUGUGGUUUUGGACUGAAUUGACUUUUCUUAUAUUAGAGAUAUGAUUUUGUGGGUUAAUAGAAGUGCAAUUAUUUUCAGUCAAGGUGUAAAAUCUUAUGAAUUUACUUUCACAAGAGAAUAAUUUUUGUGAAUCGCAUAUAAUUAUCAUAGUGAGAUUUUUUGCAAGCCAAAGGAAUACCUAUGGAAAAGAAAAUGUGCCCUUAGAAGGAACAAAGUAGCCGGUCGUUAAAGAUUAUGUACGCACGAUGAUCGAUUUCAUUUUAUUACAAGUAAGAAGAAUGCAAGCCGCUUCAGUCGUAUAAACAUGAGUCAAGUACAAGAGCCAGAUCCGCGCGUUCAUCAAGCAUGCAUAGCUCGCAUGAGAGAAUACGUUUGCGUUAGAAUUCAAAUCCAUGAGUGCGCAUGCGGCGAUACGUUUGCCUAUACCCAAGGAUUAGCCUUGCGGCUGUCGUCUAUAUUAUCUCUUCGAAAAAAAAGAACUCUCGCGACACUUCAGCCAUGCGCAUCGGCGCAUUAUGACCAGUGACUUUGUAUGCUUAUUAGGUCCACGAAAUGCAUCAAACGAUUUACUCCGCUGUACCUUUAACCCUUAAGGAAGUUGAGAAGGACGCUGAUCGAUCACGAGCGUCGUUGCGGGGACGUUGAUGGAUAUUUUUCAAUCUCCUUAUAAUUAAUUUCAUUAACUCGGCAGAAAAACGAGGCGGUUAAUUAAAGUCGAGACUUUCGAGUUUAAUUACAAGCGCGUAAGUAAGGAUCCUCAAGAUUUUUCCACAACUGCGCGUCAUGAAGCUUUCAGAGAUCACGAGAACUCAUUUAUAACGGUUUUACACGUCUCGAGUAUUCGGCGUGCAUGUUGCUACCGAUUUUGACCCUUUGACUAACGACGAUGUUGCUUUUAAAGUAAUGUGGUCGAUUAACAUUCAAGACAUGAAUUGGCUUUUAAAGAAAAAAUGUCCAUUUGUAAUCAUUAUAUACAUCAAAUUGUGUAAAUAUAUUAACACUAUAUGAAAUUAUGCGUUUUCCCAAAUAUGUACAUCUACUUUAAAAUCUCGACUAACGUUUAAGAGAUUGAUGUAGAUUGUAAGCCUAGAUAGACAAAGUGAUAUUGCGCUGUAAGUGAAGGAGGAUUGUUUCAUUACUGCACGAAAACUGCCGAUUUUUACGGUUUCGUAACUUUGCUUUAACAUGUUUUCCACAAAAAAGAAUAUUAAAAAAAUAUAUAUGCAAAAACAAAAUCAUUGAAUAAACAAUAAAAUAUACUAAAUUUUGUAAUCAAAGGGUACAAAUGUUUACAGAUUAACUCUUUUUUUCAUACAUUUGAUGAAACUAUUUGUGAACAUAUAACUUCAUGAAAUAUAUAAACAAAUUAAAAUAAAUAAGAAUACUUCGUACAGACGAAUUUAUUUUCUCAUGGAACUUUUAUGACUGAGAGCUUCUUACAUAACAAAAAAAAAUUAUAUUAACAGCAAAUUUGAAGUAACCACUUUAUACUGAAACAAUUGUUGGUAUAUUCAUCAAACUAAAAAAUUAAAAAAACUAUCGUAAUGUCAAACAAAAAUAAUGAAAGACUACACAACAUAUUUUAUUUUGUUUAUUAUUACAAAAUAUCCAGAAACGAGGUCAUUAAUAAAUUUAUGAAAAUAUGGCGACGCUCGCUUUCUGUACAGACAUGAAAAUAGUUUAAUAUUACGCAUCUGGGAAGUAAAACAGUUGGCCAUACCUGAAAGUAUAAGUAUAGCUGAUAUUCUCAAACAUUACAUUUAUGAUCAGGCUAGCCAUUUUUUUUUCUGCCGUGGUGCGUAAACUAUUUUUUCACAACAACAACCCAAAGAUACCAUUUUCGGUACGGCGCGGCGUUUCAAAAGAACUUUUAUCCGUAAAAGAUUACUCUUGACCCAUUAGAACAAUGGACAAUGUAUCUACGGUGUCCCUAAAUAGCAAUGUAAUAUGUUUAUAGUACUGUAUAGACUUACGUAUAAAGAGAGUGAAGAUGUCAACAGAUAACUAUAUAGUAUAUUAUAAUGAACUUAUACACUUUGAAUAAAAACAAAAGUAAUUAUAUUAUAUAGAUUAAUUUUGAGCUAUAUAAAUAAAGCAGCUAUCAAAAUAGGUAAAUCCGAUUGUAUAUGUACGAUUGAAGUGUGAAACAAUCAAAGACAUAUAUAGAUGGUACACGAAAAUUCUACCACUUUUGAUUUCUCUGUCUGCCGGAUUAUAAUAUCUUCGCGUGUGCCACACCCUAUAUCGGUAUACGCGAAUAAGCAAGAUGGUGAAACGCUUGUUUGUGAUUAUGGAUGAAAUAUAAUUGUUGACAUUUAAUUUUCCUUCACUUCGAUAAAAAUAACGUACAAAAUCGAUAUAUUGGAAUACGUUAUUGUCGCUAUUGUUAUAUUACACUUUUUUCAGUUUUAUGAGAAUGAAAGUUUUUUCAUCUACUCUUAUUGCGUGAAGGAAGAAUUACAAAAUACCGUCCUCAUUACAUCACCAAAAAUUUGCCAACCAUACAGAAAAUAAAUCCUCUAAAAUGCAAUUGUAACAUGUUUUGUACCGUUUGACUUGCAAUUACUUGACUUUAUACAUCGUUUCCAAUUUUAAGACACGCGCCAAAGACCGUUUAAAGAGGUAUGCGUCCAAUUUAAGUUUGUGCUCCGCGAUGAUCGUUCAACAGAAUAAUAUGUAUUUAGUGGCUUUUGAGAAGAGUGAGAAUGAGUUAUAGAGAAUAAAGCAUUUGUAAUGCUCGGCGCACGCAAGAAAAACCUUCAUCAGGAAAAAAAUGUUAUAUCGGAGACUUACCUUAUUGAACGUUUGUAAAUGUCUGUAAGUGUUUAUAGUAUGUUUAUAAGUGUCUAUACCGAUAGAGACAUGUAACGUUAUUUUUUAAUGUUUAAUUUAUAUAAAUUUGUCCUUUGAUACAUGUUUAUAAUUAUGUUAAAGGUUUCUAAAACUUCACGUUAUUCAUUUUUCAAUUGCGCCUUUUUAGAAUGCAUCUCCAUGUAAAGAGAUACAUCUCAUAUAAAAAUGAAUAAUUAAAAAAUAAACUUUUACUUUUUAUUUAAUAAGUAUUAUAAUAUAUCUGGAUUGUAUGUAUUCGAGAUAGAUGAAAUAAUAAAUAAAAUAUUUUUUAACAUAUAGUAUAUAUCGUUAUAAAAAAAAUGUUAACUUCUGCUCAGUUACUGGAUUGUUUAAGUAUGCGUAAACAAUCAUACUAUAAUAAGCCAUAGUACUAAGCAAAAUUUUAUGUACUUUACAUCAACUGAGCCGAGUUAUUAUGAUUAAUUUCUUUUAUGGAAAAGUCGAUUUUGCAAGGUAAUAGUAUUUUUUUGGUAUCAACACAUUUUUCCUACUAUAGUCCUUGUACGAAUCUAAGACCAAUUAUUUCUGUCAUAAAUAUAAUUUUUAUUGCAAUACCAUUGUUAUUUUCUAAUGUUUUGCAUUGAUGAGAAUUCCGUUUUCUCUUUAUUGAAAAUGACUGCGAUGGAAUUAAAUGAUGAAAUUAUUAUUGCGUGAAUAACAUUAUUAUAUAAGAUACAUAUGACACCGAACAAACUGUACGCAUAAAUACCUUACACAAAUGUAUUUUUCUACACAGAAAAAUUCUACACAGAUAUUUUCUACGCCGAUUUUUUAUUAUUUUACUACACUGCAAAACUCAAAACACAAGCAUUAUAACCUAUUGUUGUAAAAAUGAUCUGACAAUAGGUUAUGAAAUUGUGCAGAGUUUUGUAGUAAAAUAAUGAGAAAUCGGUGUAGACAAUAUAUCCGUGUAGAAAAAUAUGUUUGUGUAGGGUUUUUAUGUGUACAGUUUGUUCGGUGUCAUACAUAUUGCAUAAUACCAACUGGAGACUAAAAUAAUUGAUUUAAAUUGUUAUAAUGAUUAACUUGUACAAAACGAAAUUUUAGUGGAACUUUAUGAAUAUUGCAUACUAAAAAUCAUCAAUAAUAGCGCUAGAUUUUUUUAUAUUUUUAAUCGAUAUAAUCAGGCUAUAUUAUCAUCCACAGAUUUUAUAUUUUGCAACGACUGCAAUUAAAGGAUUGCAGUAUCGUUGAAUAAAAUAGAGAAAAAAUGCAAUUUUUUUAAUAAAUUUUAUAACCGAAGAUGGCGAGUAAGAUUCUUUGCAAAAGAACAGAUGCAAAAUAGUAUUAUUCUUCUUAACUGUUGUAAUAACAAGAGAUAAAGUUCAAUAAGAUUAGCAAGAUAUUUCUUAUUGAUAGUUUAGCAAAAAAAAUAAUAAUAAGAAUAAUAAUAAAUCAGCGUCUAGUGAAAAAGUUUUUAAAGUUCUAUUUUGUAAAUGAUGUAAAAUUAAGUUGAAAAUAUAAAACAUCCUAUUGAUUUUAGCGAAGUUUACUUUGCUCCAUCUACUUCUGUAAUAUUUUGUUAUUGUAUAUUAUGGCACUUUUUACCUGUGGCUAGAGAAAUUUACUAAUAGAUUGCGAUUUUAGCGCAAGUACAUUAUAAUAUGAUAGUGAAGCGAAUGUAGAGUAAUAAAACCGUACCAAAAUUAAUUUAACUAGGACCCAAAGGACACACGAUUGUUUAAACAUGGUUCAAAAAUAAAAUAUUAAAACAUACAAGUAGUGACAAUGUUGCUACGAUAUAUAAUAUAUUUUAUUAUACAAAUUAAUCUUUUUAAAUGUAUUUUCUACGACAGUAUAAUAUACAAUCAAAAUCAAUUGUGUGAUUGCAAAUUUAGUUUAAUUCUUGAUAUAUUUGAUGCGCAAUAUUUGGAAUAUUUCACUUCAGUGGCGUGUUUAAACAUUCGUCAGACCAUAAUCUGUUACGUGAAAAGUCAGAAUGUUGAUCACUAUUGUUGUAACACAUCUACGCCGAUAAUAUUAUGUACAUGUCACUGUGUACCAUGAAUAUGUAAGAUAAUAUAUUGUGUAUUGCGAGUGCCCUUCCUCCCCCUUAUUAAGAAAGUAAAUUAAGUUAUUGACUGUA